rnacentral:tRNA from 1 species
GCGAGUGUAGUUCAGUGGCAGAACACUAGCUUCCCAAGCUAGAUAUAGGGGUUCGAUUCCCCUCACUCGCU